AGAGGUGUUGAUGGACAUC
rnacentral:miRNA from 1 species